rnacentral:rRNA from 1 species
AUACGUAGGGGGCGAGCGUUGUCCGGAAUGAUUGGGCGUAAAGGGCGCGUAGGCGGCGCGGUAAGUCUGGAGUGAAAGUCCUGCUUUCAAGGUGGGAAUUGCUCUGGAUACUGCCGCGCUUGAGUGCAGGAGAGGUUAUCGGAAUUCCCGGUGUAGCGGUGAAAUGCGUAGAGAUCGGGAGGAACACCAGUGGCGAAGGCGGGUAACUGGACUGCAACUGACGCUGAGGCGCGAAAGUGUGGGGAGCAAACAGGAUUAGAUACCCUGGUAGUCCACACUGUAAACGAUGAAUGUUAGGUGUAAGAGGUAUCGACCCCUUUUGUGCCGGAGUCAACACAAUAAGCAUUCCGCCUGGGGAGUACGGCCGCAAGGUUGAAACUCAAAGGAAUUGACGGGG